AUCAAGAGAACAAGUAUAUAAGGGCAUGCAGUGGAUGCCUUGGUACCAACAGGCGAUGAAGGACGUGAUAAGCUGCGAUAAGCCUCGGAGAGCUGCAAAUAAGCUUUGAUCCGUGGAUUUCCGAAUGGGGUAACCUGACUGAGUUAAUACUCAGUCGUCUCUUGCUGAAUACAUAGGCAAGAGGUCGCAAUACCCGGUGAAGUGAAACAUCUCAGUAACCGGAGGAAAAGAAAGAGAAUCGAUUCCGUAAGUAGUGGCGAGCGAAAGCGGAAGAGCCCAAACCAGGAGCUUGCUCCUGGGGUUGUAGGACUCCGAUGUGGGAUUUCUGAAGAUAGAUUAAGCAUCUGGAAAGUUGCGUCAUAGAGGGUGAUAGCCCCGUGAUCGAAAUCUGAAGAAACCCUAGGAUGUUCCUGAGUAGCACGACACACGUGAAACGUUGUGUGAAUCUGCGCGGACCACCGCGUAAGGCUAAAUACUAGUUGGUGACCGAUAGUGAACAAGUACCGUGAGGGAAAGGUGAAAAGAACCGCUGCGAGCGGAGUGAAAUAGAACCUGAAACCGCAUGCCUACAAGGUGUCAGAGCCUCUUUAUGGGGUGAUGGCGUGCCUUUUGCUUAAUGAGUCUGCGAGUCAGUGCCAGUGGCGAGCUUAAGUCCUUCCGGGACGGAGGCGUAGCGAAAGCGAGUCUGAAUAGGGCGACAUAGUCGCUGGCGCUGGACCCGAAGCCGAGGUGACCUACCCAUGGCCAGGUUGAAGCUGCAGUAAAAUGCAGUGGAGGACCGAACCGAUGUGUGUUGAAAAACGCUCGGAUGAGCUGUGGGUCGGAGUGAAAGGCUAAUCAAACCCGGUGAUAGCUGGUUCUCCCCGAAAUGCAUUUAGGUGCAGCGUUGUGUGCUGACCCACGGGGGUAGAGCACUGAAUGAGCUAGGGGCCAUACCCGGUUACCAAACUCAAUCAAACUCCGAAUACCGUGGGGUGAAACACAGCAGUGAGUCUAUGGGGGAUAAGCUUCAUAGUCGAAAGGGAAACAACCCAGAUCAGCAGCUAAGGUGCCCAAAUACCGCUCAGUGGAAAGGAUGUGAGAUUUCUUUGACAGUGAGGAUGUUGGCUUAGAAGCAGCCACCAUUUAAACAGUGCGUAACAGCUGACUCAUCGAGAGAUCUUGCGCCUAAAAUAAUUGGCGAUCAAGCGGUAUACCGAAGCUCUGGAUGCUUCUUUUAGAAGUGUGGUAGGGGAGCGUUCCCAACAGCAUUGAAGCCCGAUGGCGACUGACGGUGGAGUGUUGGGAAGUGAGUAUGCAGACAUGAGUAACGAUAAGACGGGUGAAAUCCCCGUCCGCCGUAAACCCAAGGUUUCCUGGGCAACGUUUUUCGUCCCAGGGUUAGUCGGGACCUAAGCCGAGGCCGAUAGGCGUAGGCGAUGGAUAGCUGGUUAAUAUUCCAGCACCUCCGAACCUUAAUCCGCGAGGACGCGGGUGGUGACUGAUAAUGCCGAUUGAAAGUGGCAGAGGGGAAGCUUCGGCUGAACCUACCUUCAUGAUCCAACCGCCUAGAAAAGUCGCGGGGUACGCUAAGGAGCCCGUACCGUAAACCGACACAGGUGGGUGAGUUGAGUAUACUAAGGCGUAAGAGUGAAAUCUGGUUAAGGAACUCGGCAAAUUGACCCCGUAACUUCGGGAUAAGGGGUGCCCCUUUAUUGGGGGCCGCAGUGAACCGGGCCAACCGACUGUUUAGCAAAAACACAGCAUUGUGCUAAGACGAAAGUCGACGUAUACGAUGUGACACGUGACCAAUGCCAAAAGAUUACGGUAAGGUGUUAGCUUUCGAGCGAAGCUCCGAGCCCAAGUCCUGGUGAAUGUCGGCCGUAACUAUAACGGUCCUAAGGUAGCGAAAUUCCUUGUCGGGUAAGUUCCGACCUGCACGAAUCGUGCAACGAGUUGGCCGCUGUCUCAACCAGAUGCUCAGUGAAAUUGUAAUGACGGUGAAGAUGCCGUCUACCCGCAGAAAGACGGAAAGACCCUAUGCACCUUAACUGUACGCUGUUAUUGAUUUUUCGGUUUCAAUGCUCAGCAUAAGUGGGAGGCUUUGAAACAUAUCUUUAGGGAUAUGUGGAGCCGCCAGUGAGAUACCACCCUUUGGUAUUGGAAAAUCUAACCUCUGACCUUGAAUCAGGUAGGGGAACAAUGGCAGCCGGUCAGUUUUACUGGGGCGGUAUCCUCCUAAAGAGUAACGGAGGAGCGCGAAGGUUGGCUCAGCGCAGUUGGCAAUUGCGUUUCGAGUGCAUUGGCAUAAGCCAGCCUAACUGUGAGACCCACAAGUCGAGCAGAUACGAAAGUAGGUCAAAGUGAUCCGGUGGUUGAAUGUGGAAUUGCCAUCGCUCAACGGAUAAAAGGUACGCUAGGGAUAACAGGCUGAUUUCGCCCAAGAGUUCAUAUCGACGGCGAAGUUUGGCACCUCGAUGUCGGCUCGUCGCAUCCUGGGGCUGGAGAAGGUCCCAAGGGUCCGGCUGUUCGCCGGUUAAAGCGGCACGCGAGCUGGGUUCAGAACGUCGCGAGACAGUUCGGUCCUCUAUCUUCUGUGGGCGUAGGAAAAUUGAAGGGUUCAAACUCUAGUACGAGAGGACCGAGUUUGACGCACCUCUGGUGCUCCAGUUGUUCUGUCAAGGGCAUUGCUGGGCAGCUAAGUGCGGAAAGGAUAAGCGCUGAAAGCAUCUAAGCGCCAAGCCCCUCCUAAGACUAAUUUUCCCUGAAGGAUCGUGGUAGACCACCACGUUGAUAGGUUACGGGUGUAAGCAUGGCAACAUGUUCAGCUUAGUAAUACUAAUCAUCCGUUCGACUUGUUCU
rnacentral:rRNA from 1 species